rnacentral:lncRNA from 1 species
AUGUUAGUCAGGUUGUUCUCAAAUUUCUGGUCUCAAAUGAUCUGCACCUUGGCGUCCCUAAGUGUUGGGAUUACAGGAGAAGGUUUCCAGUUGGAAAUGCAAAUCUACAGAAGGGAUGAUGAGCACCAUGAAUGGCGGAUAGAUGACUGGCUACAAAAGAUGAAUCUGAUAUGGGAUAAACAUCAAAUUUAUUCAUCAUGUUUUCUUAUAAAGCUUAUAAGAAAUAUAUAGACCUGUUUUUAAAUCUCUUCCUAUUACUGACUGGCAGUCUUCCUUCCUGAAUUCCAAACAUGGCCAUAUUUUGUUCAGUGGAACUGCACAUAUGUAAGAAGAGAUUCGUAUUUCAUAUAAUAAUUUCCCCAACACAGAUUCAGAUGAAACUUCUCUAUGUCAUCUGCUACUGAGGCUAAAUAUGCCAAUUUCCCUAAACCCUUCAUCUUCCUUCAACUUCAUGUGGCAAUGCUGUGUGUGGCCAUUCUGGUUAGUCUUCUG